CUGGGUUCCUUCUCUGUCUCCCUCUCUCUCUCCACUCUCCUUUGGACUCAGCCACCACAUUGUAAGGAAGCCCAGGCCACAUAGAGGUGUUCCAGCCAACAGUUCCGGCAAAGGUCCUAGCCAGCCAUCAGACAUGUGAAUGAACCAGCCUUCAGAUGAUUCUAACUUCCAGCCUUUGAAUCUUCCAGCUGGGGCCCCAGGCAUCUCAGGGCAGAGGUCACCCUGGACCCAGCUCUGAGGACAUCAGCUGCUACCUCGUACUGAGUGAACCUUCUGGAAGCAUGGCUCCCACAUGGAAGGGGAGAUCCCAGGACCCUAAAGACCAACAAUCCACCCAUUUCUUCAAGAGAUGCUACUUUGUACUUACCAAGCCCCAGGUCCCAGGGAAGCACUGGAGGAGGAGAUCGUGCUUUGCAUCCCUC